rnacentral:rRNA from 1 species
UACGUAGGGUGCAAGCGUUAAUCGGAAUUACUGGGCGUAAAGCGUGCGCAGGCGGUUAUGUAAGACAGAAUGUGAAAUGCCCGGGCUUAACCUGGGAACUGCAUUUGUGACUGCAUGGCUAGAGUUUGGCAGAGGGGGGUAGAAUUCCACGUGUAGCAGUGAAAUGCGUAGAUAUGUGGAGGAACACCGAUGGCGAAGGCA